AAAAUCCGUCGACUUUAGAAAUCGAAGUCCCUCUAUCCCCA
rnacentral:tRNA from 1 species